GCGAGCGGCGGACGGGUGAGUAACACGUGGGUAACCUGCCCAAGAGACUGGGAUAACACCUGGAAACAGAUGCUAAUACCGGAUAACAACACUAGACGCAUGUCUAGAGUUUGAAAGAUGGUUCUGCUAUCACUCUUGGAUGGACCUGCGGUGCAUUAGCUAGUUGGUAAGGUAACGGCUUACCAAGGCAAUGAUGCAUAGCCGAGUUGAGAGACUGAUCGGCCACAUUGGGACUGAGACACGGCCCAAACUCCUACGGGAGGCAGCAGUAGGGAAUCUUCCACAAUGGACGAAAGUCUGAUGGAGCAACGCCGCGUGAGUGAAGAAGGGUUUCGGCUCGUAAAGCUCUGUUGGUAGUGAAGAAAGAUAGAGGUAGUAACUGGCCUUUAUUUGACGGUAAUUACUUAGAAAGUCACGGCUAACUACGUGCCAGCAGCCGCGGUAAUACGUAGGUGGCAAGCGUUGUCCGGAUUUAUUGGGCGUAAAGCGAGUGCAGGCGGUUCAAUAAGUCUGAUGUGAAAGCCUUCGGCUCAACCGGAGAAUUGCAUCAGAAACUGUUGAACUUGAGUGCAGAAGAGGAGAGUGGAACUCCAUGUGUAGCGGUGGAAUGCGUAGAUAUAUGGAAGAACACCAGUGGCGAAGGCGGCUCUCUGGUCUGCAACUGACGCUGAGGCUCGAAAGCAUGGGUUAGCGAACAGGAUUAGAUACCCUGGUAGUCCAUG
rnacentral:rRNA from 1 species